rnacentral:rRNA from 1 species
GACAGAGGGUGCAACCGUUGUUCGGAAUUACUGGGCGUAAAGCGAGUGUAGGCGGUUUCGUAAGUCGGAUGUGAAAGCCCCGGGCUCAACCCGGGAAGUGCACUCGAUACUGCGAAGCUAGAGUACUGGAGAGGUUGGUGGAAUUCUCGGUGUAGAGGUGAAAUUCGUAGAUAUCGGGAGGAACACCGGUGGCGAAGGCGGCGAUCUGGGUAGAUACUGACGCUGAGGUGCGAAAGCGUGGGGAGCAAACAGG